CAGUGUCUCGCCCACCCCCGCGGGGCCCGUCCGACUCGACGGAGUCUUGCUGUCACCCAGGCUGUAGUGCAGUGGCAUGAUCUCAGCUCACUGCAACCUCCACCUCCCAGGUUCAAGUGAUUCUCCUGCCUCAACCUCCCAAGUAGCUGGGACUACAGGAAUGCACCACUGCACCCAGCUAUUGGUUUCGCCAUGUUGGCCAGGCUGGUCUCAGAUUCCUGAUCUGUCCACCUCAGCCUCCCAAAGUGCUGGGAUUACAGUUUUGUUUUAGGUGCUGUCUCUCCUGUUGUUGUUGUCCUUUACACGAUGGUGUUGCAAGAAAAUGGAUAUGGUGUUGAGGAAGACAUUCCAACAUUACUAAUGGCUGCUAGCAGUAUGGAUGACAUUCUGGCUAUCACUGGAUUCAAUACAUGCUUGAGCAUAGUCUUCUCCUCGGGCUGUGCUAGGUCCUCUGGCUCUAGAAACAGCAAGAGUCUCCGCACCCCACUUGGAACCAUAUGCGAAGGAUGUGAUGACAGUAGCAUUUUUAGCCAUCUCGAUCACAGCUCCAAAUGGAGCUCUACUUAUGGGCAUUCUGGGGCCUAAAAUGCUUACACACCAUUAUGAUCCAAGCAAAAUAAAACUGCAAUUGUCAACAUUAGAACAUCAUUAAAAAGUUUACCUG
rnacentral:lncRNA from 1 species